rnacentral:rRNA from 1 species
CGAUACCUGCUCAGCAGAACGACCCGUGAACACGUGAAAAAAACCUACCAUGCCCGGGGAGCGGGCUCCCGCCAGCGACCCGGUGCUGCAACAAAAUUCGGCGCAACUGGCGUCAAGGAAAACUCACCGGAAGCAAGGCGUCGGCUCGUUCGGCGCCGUGUGUCCGAAUACUCAAACGACUCUCGGCAACGGAUAUCUCGGCUCUUGCAUCGAUGAAGAACGUAGCGAAAUGCGAUACUUGGUGUGAAUUGCAGAAUCCCGUGAACCAUCGAGUCUUUGAACGCAAGUUGCGCCCGAAGCCUUUUUGGCCGAGGGCACGCCUGCCUGGGCGUCACACACAGCGUCGCCCCCCACCAAUCCCUUUGGAUGGGAUGGGGAUGGGGGCGGAUAUUGGCCCCCCGAGCCCUCUGGGGCACGGUCGGCAUAAAUGUUGGUCCCCGGCGGCGAGCGUCGCGGUCAGCGGUGGUUGUAUACUCAUCCCCCGAGGACAAAAUGACGCGCAUGCCUCGUCGCUCGUCGGGCAGAGCAAACCCCAGGGAGCACGGCUU